rnacentral:rRNA from 1 species
GAUGAACGCUGGCGGCGUGCCUAACACAUGCAAGUCGAACGAAGCACCUUGCCUGAUUCUUCGGAUGAAGGUCUGGUGACUGAGUGGCGGACGGGUGAGUAACGCGUGGGUAACCUGCCCUGUACAGGGGGCUAAUAGUUGGAAACGGCUGCUAAUACCGCAUACGCGCACGAGAGGACCUCCUCUUGUGUGAAAAACUCCUGUGGUACAGGAUGGGCCCGCGUCUGAUUAGCUAGUUGGCAGGGUAACGGCCUACCAAGGCGACGAUCAGUAGCCGGUCUGAGAGGAUGAACGGCCACAUUGGAACUGAGACACAGUCCAAACUCCUACGAGAGGCAGCAGUGGGGAAUAUUGCACAAUGGGGGAAACCCUGAUGCAGCAACGCCGCGUGAGCGAUGAAGGCCUUCGGGUCGUAAAGCUCUUUUCUAAGGGAAGAAUUCUUGACGGUACCUUAGGAAUAAGCCCCGGCUAACUACGUGCCAGCAGCCGCAGUAA